AGAGACCUCCCUUAGGGACAAAAGCCUCCUCCAUCUUGGGCACAAAGAAGUCUCAAUAUCAGCACAGCAUGAGGUUCCCUGACCAUGCCAGCACUGACCAGAAGAGAAGCUGACCAAUCCACCAACCUGAUCAUGGACCAUGCCAGUCCCCCAGAAGAGAAGGUAAGCUCUAGUCAGCAGCUUCAAAGAGAAAUAACAGACCUGGCCAGAGGACUAGCCCCAAGCAAAGCCC
rnacentral:lncRNA from 1 species